rnacentral:rRNA from 1 species
UACGUAGGGUGCAAGCGUUGUCCGGAAUUAUUGGGCGUAAAGAGCUCGUAGGCGGUUUGUCGCGUCGAAUGUGAAAGCCCGGGGCUUAACCCCGGGUCUGCAUUCGAUACGGGCUAGCUAGAGUGUGGUAGGGGAGAUCGGAAUUCCUGGUGUAGCGGUGAAAUGCGCAGAUAUCAGGAGGAACACCGGUGGCGAAGGCGGAUCUCUGGGCCAUUACUGACGCUGAGGAGCGAAAGCGUGGGGAGCGAACAGG